UCUCCGUUGGUGAACCAGCGGAGGGAUCAUUACAGGACUCGCAAGACUCCUACAACCCUGUGAACUUAACUAUAAGCACGUUGCUUCGGCGGGUGUCUCGGAGGGGGUUCUCCCUCCCCGAGACGCUAAACCCGCCGGCAGCCUACAAUACUCUGUCUCUUUGCGUUGGCAUCUCGAGUACAAUCAAACAAGUUAAAACUUUCAACAACGGAUCUCUUGGUUCUG
rnacentral:misc_RNA from 1 species